rnacentral:tRNA from 1 species
GGGGAUGAAGCUUAAGUGGUAUAUAGCUACUGCCUGUUAAGCAGAAGAUAGUAGGUUCGAGUCCUAUCAUGCCCG